rnacentral:rRNA from 1 species
GACGAACGCUGGCGGCGUGCUUAACACAUGCAAGUCGAACGGAAAGGCCCUGCUUUUGUGGGGUGCUCGAGUGGCGAACGGGUGAGUAACACGUGAGUAACCUGCCCUUGACUUUGGGAUAACUUCAGGAAACUAGGGCUAAUACCGGAUAGGAGCUCCUGCUGCAUGGUGGGGGUUGGAAAGUUUCGGCGGUUGGGGAUGGACUCGCGGCUUAUCAGCUUGUUGGUGGGGUAGUGGCUUACCAAGGCUUUGACGGGUAGCCGGCCUGAGAGGGUGACCGGCCACAUUGGGACUGAGAUACGGCCCAGACUCCUACGGGAGGCAGCAGUGGGGAAUAUUGCACAAUGGGCGGAAGCCUGAUGCAGCAACGCCGCGUGCGGGAUGAUGGCCUUCGGGUUGUAAACCGCUUUCGCCUGUGACGAAGCGUGAGUGACGGUAAUGGGUAAAGAAGCACCGGCUAACUACGUG